UGGGGAAUCUUCCGCAAUGGACGAAAGUCUGACGGAGCAACGCCGCGUGAGUGAUGACGGUCUUCGGAUUGUAAAGCUCUGUUAAUCGGGACGAAUGGUUUGUGUGCAAAUAGUGCAUAGACAUGACGGUACCGGAAUAGAAAGCCACUGCUAACUACGUGCCAGCAGCCGCGGUAAUACGUAGGUGGCAAGCGUUGUCCGGAAUUAUUGGGGGUAAAGCGCGCGCAGGCGGACUAGCCAGUCAGUCUUAAAAGUUCGGGGCUUAACCCCGUGAUGGGAUUGAAACUACUAGUCUAGAGUAUCGGAGAGGAAAGUGGAAUUCCUAGUGUAGCGGUGAAAUGCGUAGAUAUUAGGAAGAACACCAGUGGCGAAGGCGACUUUCUGGACGAACACUGACGCUGAGGCGCGAAAGCCAGGGGAGCGAACGGG
rnacentral:rRNA from 1 species